CUGUAAGCCUGUGAAGGUGUGUCGUGAGGCAUGCUGGAGGUAUCAGAAGUGCGAAUGCUGACAUAAGUAACGAUAAAGCGGGUGAAAAGCCCGCUCGCCGGAAGACCAAGGGUUCCUGUCCAACGUUAAUCGGGGCAGGGUGAGUCGACCCCUAAGGCGAGGCCGAAAGGCGUAGUCGAUGGGAAACGGGUUAAUAUUCCCGUACUUGGUGUUACUGCGAAGGGGGGACGGAGAAGGCUAUGUUGGCCGGGCGACGGUUGUCCCGGUUUAAGCGUGUAGGCUGGUUUUCCAGGCAAAUCCGGAAAAUCAAGGCUGAGGCGUGACGACGAGGCACUACGGUGCUGAAGCAACAAAUGCCCUGCUUCCAGGAAAAGCCUCUAAGCAUCAGGUAACAUCAAAUCGUACCCCAAACCGACACAGGUGGUCAGGUAGAGAAUACCAAGGCGCUUGAGAGAACUCGGGUGAAGGAACUAGGCAAAAUGGUGCCGUAACUUCGGGAGAAGGCACGCUGACACGUAGGUGAAGUGAUUUACUCAUGGAGCUGAAGUCAGUCGAAGAUACCAGCUGGCUGCAACUGUUUAUUAAAAACACAGCACUGUGCAAACACGAAAGUGGACGUAUACGGUGUGACGCCUGCCCGGUGCCGGAAGGUUAAUUGAUGGGGUCAGCGCAAGCGAAGCUCCUGAUCGAAGCCCCGGUAAACGGCGGCCGUAACUAUAACGGUCCUAAGGUAGCGAAAUUCCUUGUCGGGUAAGUUCCGACCUGCACGAAUGGCGUAAUGAUGGCCAGGCUGUCUCCACCCGAGACUCAGUGAAAUUGAACUCGCUGUGAAGAUGCAGUGUACCCGCGGCAAGACGGAAAGACCCCGUGAACCUUUACUAUAGCUUGACACUGAACAUUGAGCCUUGAUGUGUAGGAUAGGUGGGAGGCUUUGAAGUGUGGACGCCAGUCUGCAUGGAGCCGACCUUGAAAUACCACCCUUUAAUGUUUGAUGUUCUAACGUGGACCCGUUACCCGGGUUGCGGACAGUGUCUGGUGGGUAGUUUGACUGGGGCGGUCUCCUCCUAAAGAGUAACGGAGGAGCACGAAGGUUGGCUAAUCCUGGUCGGACAUCAGGAGGUUAGUGCAAUGGCAUAAGCCAGCUUGACUGCGAGCGUGACGGCGCGAGCAGGUGCGAAAGCAGGUCAUAGUGAUCCGGUGGUUCUGAAUGGAAGGGCCAUCGCUCAACGGAUAAAAGGUACUCCGGGGAUAACAGGCUGAUACCGCCCAAGAGUUCAUAUCGACGGCGGUGUUUGGCACCUCGAUGUCGGCUCAUCACAUCCUGGGGCUGAAGUAGGUCCCAAGGGUAUGGCUGUUCGCCAUUUAAAGUGGUACGCGAGCUGGGUUUAGAACGUCGUGAGACAGUUCGGUCCCUAUCUGCCGUGGGCGCUGGAGAACUGAGGGGGGCUGCUCCUAGUACGAGAGGACCGGAGUGGACGCAUCACUGGUGUUCGGGUUGUCAUGCCAAUGGCACUGCCCGGUAGCUAAAUGCGGAAGAGAUAAGUGCUGAAAGCAUCUAAGCACGAAACUUGCCCCGAG
rnacentral:rRNA from 1 species